UCUUGGGGAGAACCGUACUUGAACCGGACCAUUUGUACCGGCUGUUAUUAGCCGUUGAGAUCUAUCUAGGUUUUUAAUCCUAGCCGUUGAGAUCUAUAUAGGAUGUCGAGAACAAAAGAAAAUGAAGAAGCAUUCUUCAGUUCUUUCUUCUUCGUCUCUUCUUCUCACUCAGCGGCAGCAUCAGUUUCUCGAUUCUCUUAGGGUUUGAAUCGAGAUUGAAUAUCAGUAAUAUCAGUGGAUCACCAUCUCUAUCAGGAUUCAGAUAUUGAGAAGAUUAGUCCAAAGGCCAAAGCAGAGAAGAAGGAAGAAUUAGAUUUUUGGGGUUCUCAAGUACUGCACAAUGGCUUGUGGCUGAACCGCUGAACGCUUAAGGAUCGUGAUUUGUUUCAGG